GGGGUAUGGAAUCGGAUUUUAAGGGAUUGGAAUUCCUAGCCCAUUUCAGAGGAAGCUUUUGCUGUCUUUCAUGAAAGCUGAUUUCUUACCAGUAAAGUGUGCACAGUUGUUGUUACAAUUUAAUAGAAUUUGCCUGUGAAAACAGAUGUGGAAAUGCCUUUAAAUAGCUCCAUGCCCUGACAGCAUCCCAGCAUUUGCUGCCUAACUCAGUAGGUGUGUUCUCAAGGGAAAAAUGCCUAUAUAAUUAACGCUAGCAGAAACACUUUGCAAGUCACCUAGGAAAGGUGUGAGCAGCUCCUGUGUGACUGUGCAGGCAAAGACCUUGCUCCAGAUGUGUGGGUGCAGCUCAGUGGGAAAGAAGUGCAGCUUUCCCUCCUUUCCGACACGGUGUGCUUCAUGAUGUUGUCUUGCAAUUGUGAGCAGUGCCAGCAGCACCUUGAGAUAAGAGUUUUGUGGGCUGCCUGAAACACCAUUUCUGAGAGAAAAGAGAGACUCUUCAUGCAUCCCAGUGGUGUUGACUCUGAAAGCCAAAGCAUCGUUAAAAUUGAAGCUGAAGGGAAAGCAGUUCUCCAGGCUUGGUCACCUCUCAGCCACGAGCAGCAGAUGGCCAUCAUUCAGAAUGUGUCAGGCCUCACCAUCAUUUGGCAUCUGUGGAAUACCAGUAGGAUCGCCCCAGACUCCACUGCUGCCUGAGCUGCCUCCACCAUCUGCAGAGGACUUUCCACAUUUUUCUGAAGCAAAUAGAUUUAUGUGCUGUGAUGGCUUGAUUGACAGAGUUUCCAUUACAUAGCUUAAUUUCUAUGGGUUUUCCUAUCAAUCUUUUUCCCUCAUUACCUGGUAAACAGGAGCUGCCCCUAUAAGAUAACUUAUAGGGGAUUUAGGAAUACAUUUCUAUGUGAUGAGGAAACUGAGGCACAAAGGUGACAAGAAGCUUUGAAGUUUCUGCACAUACCUGAACAGUGAUGAUAGUUUCACUCUGUUUGCUUCUUGGUGCUUCUCUCAGCCUUGCUCCUGUGAUGAUGGUUUGUUUCCCUUGUUCUCACCCAGCCUCCUGUUCUUCUUGCUGCAGUCGCAUCCCAGAUGCCUGGUACCAGCCCUCAGCUCUUCACUGCUGCCUCAUUGUGUUAGAUUUCCAGUUUAGCUAGUUCUUGCCCUAUGUAAAGGCCCCUCAACCCCUUAGAAAUAGGACAACCAACACAGCAUUCAUUCUGUGUCCUGGGGUGAUGAGUUUUGGAAGGAAAAGGCUAGAGCUUUCCUACCACAUUAACAGGUUUUCUUCACUAUUUCGUUCUCAAAGACAUACUUAAGAUUUGUUUUUUAGUGACUAUAAAUAACCACCCCCACACCUUUAAACAAAGAGCUGAUGGAUGGCUCUGAGAAAGCUCCAAGCUCAGUGGCUGAGGGUGGCUGCUUGUCUGUAGGACACAUUUAAAUCCCACAGCUGACUUCUCCACACACUGUGUUUUGUAUGAGUAGGCCUUGGGAAGACCCGCAAACAGG
rnacentral:lncRNA from 1 species